CCUAGGGAGGCUGCAGUGGGGAAUAUUGGACAAUGGGCGAAAGCCUGAUCCAGCCAUGCCGCGUGUGUGAAGAAGGCCUUCGGGUUGUAAAGCACUUUCAGUGGGGAAGAAAGCCUUGGGGCUAAUACCCUCGAGGAAGGACAUCACCCACAGAAGAAGCACCGGCUAACUCCGUGCCAGCAGCCGCGGUAAUACGGAGGGUGCGAGCGUUAAUCGGAAUUACUGGGCGUAAAGCGCGCGUAGGCGGUCUGAUAAGCCGGUUGUGAAAGCCCCGGGCUCAACCUGGGAACGGCAUCCGGAACUGUCAGGCUAGAGUGCAGGAGAGGAAGGUAGAAUUCCCGGUGUAGCAGUGAAAUGCGUAGAGAUCGGGAGGAAUACCAGUGGCGAAGGCGGCCUUCUGGACUGACACUGACGCUGAGGUGCGAAAGCGUGGGUAGCAAACAGGAUUAGAUACCCGUGUAGUC
rnacentral:rRNA from 1 species